rnacentral:rRNA from 1 species
AACGAACGCUGGCGGCAUGUCUAACACAUGCAAGUCGAACCAGACCUUCGGGUCUAGUGGCGCACGGGUGCGUAACGCGUGGGAACCUGCCCUUAGGUUCGGAAUAACUCCCCGAAAGGGGUGCUAAUACCGGUUAAUGUCUUCGGACCAAAGAUUUAUCGCCUUUGGAUGGGCCCGCGUUGGAUUAGCUAGUUGGUAGGGUAAAAGCCUACCAAGGCGACGAUCCAUAGCUGGUCUGAGAGGAUGAUCAGCCACACUGGGACUGAGACACGGCCCAGACUCCUACGGGAAGCAGCAGUGGGGAAUAUUGGACAAUGGGCGAAAGCCUGAUCCAGCAAUGCCGCGUGAGUGAUGAAGGACUUAGGGUUGUAAAGCUCUUUUACCCGUGAUGAUAAUGACAGUACCGAGAGAAUAAGCUCCGGCUGACUCCAUG